CUACGGGGGGCACCAGUGAGGAAUUUUGCGCAAUGGGGGAAACCCUGACGCAGCAACGCCGCGUGAGUGAAGAAGGCUUUCGGGUCGUAAAGCUCUGUCAGAUAGGAAAAAAGUUCAUAUGUAAAUAGCUUAUGAAUCUGAUGGUACUAUCAGAGGAAGCACCGGCUAACUCCGUGCCAGCAGCCGCGGUAAUACGGAGGGUGCAAGCGUUGUUCGGAAUUACUGGGCGUAAAGGGCGCGUAGGCGGUAUGGUAAGUCAGAUGUGAAAGCCCUGGGCUUAACUCAGGAAGUGCAUUUGAUACUGCCAUCCUUGAGUAUGGGAGAGGAGAGUAGAAUUCCCAGUGUAGAGGUGAAAUGCGUAGAUAUUGGGAGGAAUACCCGUGGCGAAGGCGACUCUCUGGACCAAUACUGACGCUGAGACGCGAAAGCGUGGGGAGCAAACAGGAUUAGAUACCCGGGUAGUC
rnacentral:rRNA from 1 species